UUGAUAGUGUUGAAGGCUGAAAUACUCCCUCCAUAGAGCAGAGAACAGGUAGUGGCAGUUCAAGCAUCUCUCUACUGCCCCAUCCUUGUGCCUCAACCCUAUGUUCAGGAACCACCUCUGGAGGAAAUGAAUAUAGCUUAGUUGUCAUGCCUAUUUAAUCAUUGGUUUUG
rnacentral:sRNA from 1 species